AGGAAGAAGGAAGAGGAAGGAAUUACCCUCAGUACUCUCUCUGAGGUAGGAGGUAAAAUCAUUUGAGAAGGGCAGAAGGUAACAGUACUAGGAUACUUGUUUGGGAGUGUGGUGACAUUGGCUACUGUAAACAUCGGAACAGGAGAUUCUUAAAGACAUUGAGCAGCAUGGUGGACCCAGCUGACCCUGCCGUAAAGGAUCUCAGUGAGGACACCAUAUUACGUUAAGGCAUCAUUUCUCCUUGGGCUCCUCUUGGCUGCAACAGCUGCUCAGAUUUCCCGUUUUGAUGACCUUGACAGUUCUUGAGAAGUCCUGGCCAGUUUCAGGUGUACAGUACACCCACAAGAAAUGAUUCAACACGUCCCUACAACACCCGGUGCUCAUCACAAGUGCCCUCCUUAGUCCCUAUCACCAAUUUCAUCCAUCUCCCCAGCCAC